AAUGAAAUAAAUAAAACAAAACACACCCUAACUGAACUCUUAAUCUUGAGACAAAAAAAGAGAAAGAAAAACCUAACUUACUUGUCUACAAAAAUGGCAUUCUAAAACCAGUACAAGGGAGGUACUACCCACGCUUACCUAGUGUUUUUAGACAUCCAGAUACUAUGUGUGCAGAUGUACAGGGUACCCCAUCUUACCUGGUCCACAACCUUCCCACCACAUACCUGGCAACCAGCUUUAAAAGGACUUCAGCUUCAACCGCACAACUAAAGAGCAGGGACAAAAAAGCUCUGAGCUCAACGGCUGUGUCUGAAUCCAGAGGAAGGAUGCUUGUGAGUACGGGUCCUCGCCGGUCUAAAACCGGAAGUCAGCGGCUCUGAAUUCGGACAGUACUAGCCUCGUUUUUAUUCCCGCCCCCAGGUCAAGUUGCCUAGCUACCGUGACGGCGGCAAACAGGCUAACAAGCUAACAAGCUAGUAGCGACGUUGAAAAUGGAUCCACAGCAAUAUUUCAUUUUAUUUGUGGUUUUUGAGGAGCUGCGACGGCUCAAUAAACGUCACCGGCCUUUUGAUGUGACAGCCGUCGAUUGAGCCAGCCCAGCAAACCCUUUUGAUGGACGAUGCAGUGGUCAGUGAGAUGAGGCAUCCAGAAGCACCCUCUGCAGACCACUCUGUCUGAUGUUCCACUUGCCAACCAGAAACGUUCAGCCACGGAUCUCGGUUCCUGCACUCCAUCCACCUCGAUGAUCCAUGUUUAGUAGAUUUAGCAACACCACCAAAGACUCCCUGCUUUCCAAGUUUACUGUAUAUAUUUUACUUUUAUCUUUACUUUUAUUCCUUACAGUGUUCCCUUACCAUUUAUUUACUAUGUUGUUACUUGUUAAAAACUGAAUAAUAAAACUGUUAAUGAUCAAAAAAGAGUUAUCAAUUAAUAGAAAUUUUAUUACAUUUAAACAAAUAACAAAAAAAUUCAAACACAUAUAUAGAACCUGAACAAGAAGAAACUAAAAGAAAAAAACCCCAUUUCUCUGCCAUCCUUUCCAUCAAUGCUAAAAAUCUGUCCAUCCUUCUUUCUCUCCUCUCCUCCGCUUCCCUCUGUUGUCUCAUGUCCUCCCUGAUCAGGUCAAGGAGCUCAUCAGCCCUUCUCCUUUUUCUCCCUGAUGAGGAGUCCGGCUUCCUUCCACCACUCUCCCUGUCCUCUGUCUCACCCACUGCUGCACUUGGCCCUGGAGUGUCCUCGGGAAUGGAAGCAAUAAGGACAGGAGGCAUAGUGGAAGGCCUCUGUCCCAACACCUCGUCCAUGGGGACAAACCAGGGCCAGGUUUCAGCAGUGGGCUUUCCGCUGACUCCCUCUCCUGACCCUGGAUGCUUGCAGUCCUACAGACAAAGGGAGUUAGAAUUACAAGGCUUUAUUGUCAUUUAACAACAGAGAACACUGUGGGCAUAAUGAAAUUACAGAUAAAGGUACUGGUUCUGGAUGAGAAUAGAGAGGAACAGAAGAACAAAGUCAGAUUAUAAAUCAUAGUUGAUAAAACAUGCAAUAAACAAUAUUUUAAUUUAUCAACAUGGGAGAUGAAAAUUGUGUUCUGUGUUUUUUUCCGCCUAAAAUGAAAAUUAAAAACAUUAAAUCAGUAAUGUGGUUUCUUAGAAAUUAACUUAAAUAAACAUUAAACUUAGUUUUCGUUGUUUUUGGCGUUCGUUACAUGAUUACAUAAGAUGCAAGCUCUUUUACGGUGAGUUUUUUCCUAUUAGACUUUCAAGCAAGUUUACGGUGGGGUGUUAACCUUAAAACAAAUGAUGAGAAGCUUUAUUCGCUAAAUAAACACACACACACGGGACUUAUGACGGGACCACCAUACAAGCUCGUUCUCGCUGAUUUCUGCUUAAAAUGUACUUAUACAAACGAAAAAUGUCUAUAAACAGAACCGCUUUCAGCUUAGUUUUCUACCGCUAUUCUCUUUUAAAAAGCCUGCUGGGAUCAAGCUAGUUUACGGUGGGUUUUUCCUAUUAAACAUUCAAGCUGGUUUUCGGUGGGGCAUGUUUUAGCCUUAAAUUACAUGAAAAAGAACAAUUUGUGGUAUUAGAUCUUAUAUAAAACACAAACCAAAAGUGCCCAAACACGUAUUUUAUUUUUUGACCGCUAUUUUUUUUAACUAACUUACAUUUUAAGCUGUACUGCUGUCCCGCUCCGUCCCCCGUUGUUGCGAGUGUCGAGUCCAGCGGCCGGCGCGUAAAGCAUGCUGGGAUACCCUUGCUCCUGUGAGGAUCCAUCAGACCCAUCCUCGAAAUGUGGGUGGAGCGAGGACGUGUUUGAGGACGCGAGAAUGAGGAUUCUUGGAAUUCGGACAGUACUCGUCUCUGCGCUGUGACGUCAUCGACCUCAAAAUGCGCUCUUACAAGCAUCCUUCCUCUGGAUUCGGACCAUAGACUGUACAUACUGGACAAAACGAUUCCAUAGGCUCCAAUAACACGUUUUUUGUCUAUAAUGGGAGGUGGCCACCACCGCCAUUUUGACCGUGUCACAGGUUCCGUCCAGCCCAGACAAUUCCACAAAAGGGAAGAGAGGAGGAGCUGAGGGUGGGGCUGUAAGGCUGGGAUCGACUGACGACACCCGGGCAAACUACCUACGAGCUAACCCUGGCUAACCCAAAGCUAACGCGGAGGUGGGAGCCGAGCUAACGGAUGUAGCCACCUAGCUUCAACCCUACCGGAGCUAACUGUGGAACACCCAUGGACCUGAACCUAACACGAAGUUUAGGUGGAGGUUUUCAGCGCCUGUUCGUGACAAGUACCUGGAUUAAAAAAGUAUUAAAUCGGUAAGUUUAUAAUUUAUUUCCGUAAUGAAAACAUUUAGCUUUGAGCAAGUUUUCAGUACCGUAUUCUCCGGGCUAUCGCUCCUGAGUCGCACCAGCCAUUAAAUGUAUCAUGAAGAAGAGAAGAUAUAUUUAAGUCGUAUUUUGGGGGGACAUUUUAUUAUCUUUCUUACAAAAUCUGAGACCAAGCGUUUCACAUUGCAACACAAGCACCGGUAACCAUAACAGAAUGAACAACAGCGUGUAAGUAACUCUGGAAAGGCUCUGUUAAUAAGUGAUUGUUCUUGCAUGGUUUUAAUUUGAUUUUAUAGUUUUGUACUGCAUGCUUUUAUUUUGACGGACCAGCAGAGGAAAUAAGGGAGAGCAGAGAAGGCCAAUUGACUUUUGCUUGGAAACUGACAGCAUGCUGUAAGACCAAACAGACAGGACUGGGCCUCUAUACCCUUCCUUUUGACAAUUAAGCGCCUAGCUGGAAUUGGGAACAAGCUCUUACGGUGUUUCAAGAAAGGAAAGGUGGAUUUAUGUUCAAAAUAAGGAUGCCAGCUGAACAUGAAUAAAAAUUCCUUGAGAAACAUCAGUACGCUUAGCCAUUGUCUGGCUGGGUUCGCUACACAGCGCGCCAUGGUCUCCAGCCAGCAGAGGAGAGGAUGGCGGUGUUUCAAACCCUCCCGGCCGGCGAGGAGAGCUCAUUCCUGGGCUGGAGCUCUCAGCACCCCGCCACAGGCUCCAACAGAUGCUGGCGGUGUUUGAAACCCUCCCAGCGGGACAGGGGAAGUCAUUCUUGGGUAGGGUUAGGUAGGGAAUUAUCAUGAGAACCAGGACAAGACAGCCUGAUAACAGUCAUGUGAAAAUAACAGUAAAAAAGUAUGUAUGUGUAAUAGAAAUAAAAAUAUAUUAGAAUUAGUGUAACUCACUGUGAUCCAAACAAUAAAUCAGCCAUAGCUGAUUAGUAAAUAUGACAUGAGGUCUGGGAGUUUUUAAGUUUUUUUCUUUUAUUACAUUUUUUUCGUAGAUCUAUUAAAAGGUCACCAUGGCAGCCUGUGUGUCUCCAACAUCAGCUACACAACGCAGCAAGUGUAAGUUCCUGUC